UGGCGGCGUGNCUAACACAUGCAAGUCGAGCGAGGUCCAUCCAGUGGCAACACUGGGGACGACCUAGCGGCGAACGGGUGAGUAACACGUGAGGAACCUGCCCCGAAGACCGGGAUAACCCGAGGAAACUCGAGCUAAUACCGGAUACCCCCACGAGAUCGCAUGAUCUUGUGAGGAAAUGUCUUUUCGCUUCGGGAGGGCCUCGCGGCCUAUCAGCUUGUUGGCGGGGUAACGGCCCACCAAGGCAUCGACGGGUAGCUGGUCUGAGAGGACGAUCAGCCACACUGGGACUGAGACACGGCCCAGACUCCUACGGGAGGCAGCAGUGGGGAAUCUUGCGCAAUGGGCGAAAGCCUGACGCAGCAACGCCGCGUGGGGGACGAAGGCUCUCGGGUUGUAAACCCC
rnacentral:rRNA from 1 species